rnacentral:rRNA from 1 species
UACGAAGGGGGCUAGCGUUGCUCGGAAUCACUGGGCGUAAAGCGCACGUAGGCGGAUUGCUAAGUCAGGGGUGAAAUCCUGGAGCUCAACUCCAGAACUGCCUUUGAUACUGGCAAUCUCGAGUCCGGGAGAGGUGAGUGGAACUCCGAGUGUAGAGGUGAAAUUCGUAGAUAUUCGGAAGAACACCAGUGGCGAAGGCGGCUCACUGGCCCGGUACUGACGCUGAGGUGCGGAAAGCGUGGGGAGCAAACAGGG